CCAUAGCCCUUCUUCCCUCCUUCAUAUUGCUCCGGCUGGUAGCCGAAGGGUCCUUUGGGCCCGCCGCUCUGGCCGUCUUCGGUCUUGGUGCUGAGGGUUGCCGCUCGCUCCAGCUGUGCCCGCACAGCUUUGGGAUUCCUGCAGUAGUCGCAGGCACCCGCGCAGUUUGGCUUCUUGUCGUCGAAAUACUUGGAGAUGAUGGCAUGGCGGCACCUGAUAGAAGAAAAGAGAGAGUGGUCCAGCUGCUGUCACGGCUUUGUGGCGCCUUAUUGAUCCACCUGCUGUUAUGUAGACGGCACACAUGUUUUAGUUAAGAAGCAGCCAUAGAGCCUGUUUGGGAAUCAUUCACAUCAACAGAAUCCAAACCCCAAUGCUGGGAAUGGGAACGCUGCCACCUUCCUCUGUGAAACAGGGAAGUCUGAGCCAGGCAGAGAGGAGCACAAAGUAAAGCAAUAGUCCCUCCCAGACACGACUGUCAAAGACAACUGGAAAGCCUCUGAGGAAACUAGAGGAAGAUCUGAAGAGUGAACGCAAAGGAAGAAAAGGCUUCUCUUCUCCGUAUGAAUCUUACUUAUAGUCUCACUUUAGGACCAGCGUCAACUUCUGGUUGCACCUCCCCAACAACAAACCAACUAACCAGUUUUGCCAAGCAAGACGUUCUGCAGAAAGCAGCUACUGGGAGCAUAGAGCAUGCUCACAACGUCUCCACCCAGUGCACUCCCUCAUCUGUUGGCUCUGUAACUCCUAAGUGUGAGAAAACAGCUGAGACUCUCACAGCAGGAUGGAUGCCAGGGAGGAGACAGUUGGCCUCCUGAACAAAGUAUGGCUCAAGCUUCAAAGUCUGUCCAGAGCCCACCCUGUGGACCUGGCAGCCUUCUUCAUCCUCCUCAUCUUCAUCUUAAUGGUGAUCCUGCUGGCGGGGCUGACCUGUAUGAGCUGCUGCUGCUGCUCCAGGUGUAAAUCCAAACAGCACAGACCCGACGUCUGAGUGAACGUGUUACUUUCAGACAGUUUUAUUUUUUUUUUCUGCAGAUCUGAUAAGCAAAAUGCUUAGAAAUCCUCACUGGGUGUCGGAUAUAAACCAUACACCUUUUGCAUAAAAACUGGGCGGAGCCUCAGAACAACAAAGCAAACUCUUGGAUUGUGUUCAAGGCCGCGGAGCACACCCAUUAAUGCUGCCAGGAUUUCAGGAACAGCAACAUUCCUUGGAAGCAUCCCUGGAGCCCGCGAAGCAUCAACAGCUCCUCUAACCUGGGGAUUCAGUUCCCAGCUGGCGUAUGUCAAUACACAGGACCCAACAUGUU